rnacentral:ncRNA from 5 species
GGCCUUUUGGCUAAGAUCAAGUGUAGUAU